UACGUAGGGUGCAAGCGUUGUCCGGAAUUAUUGGGCGUAAAGAGCUCGUAGGCGGUCUGUUGCGUCCGCUGUGAAAACUCGGGGCUUAACCCCGAGCCUGCAGUGGAUACGGGCAGACUAGAGGUAGGUAGGGGAGAAUGGAAUUCCCGGUGUAGCGGUAAGUAACGCGAGCAGAUACGCGGAGGAACACCCGUGGCGAAGGCGGCUCUCUGGAACGCAACUGACGCUGAGACGCGAAAGCGUGGGGAGCAAACAGG
rnacentral:rRNA from 1 species